AUGGGGCUGCGGACCUGCGGCGCCAUGGAAGGUGAGCACGUUGUCGCCUCGCCUUUCUUCGAGUGGUUGAAGCCGCCGCCGGCGUCGCCGUCCUCGUCGAGAUCGUCGUCGACUUUCUCGUCCUCGUCGUCGUCUAUGGCGUCUGGGCACCAAGAGGAUCGCAGCAGCGUGGCAUGCUUGCCCCUGCUCCGCAUGCUCGAGGAGGGGAAGGGGGCUGGUGGUGACCAUAAGCACCCUGCGCCUGCGGUCAAGGAAGAGAUCAUGGGCAGCGGCGCGGCCGGGGUGCUGGGGCCUGGCGUGGAUCUGAAUAUCGGCUUGCCGGUUGGUGGAUCUUGCGAUGAUGACAUCAUGGAGGAGGAGGAGGGCCAGGAGGAAGAUGAUGACCACGACUGUGACGAAGAGGAGGAGGAAGAGAUGGAUGAGUUGGAACCUACCCAUGGAGCUUGCAAGGUGGAGGCAGAGGAGAAAGAGGAGCACGGCGAGCCGGUGGUCUCGGUGGAAGGAACAAACAGCGUCAGCAUGCCGGAAUUCGGCGUGGUCGGAGCAGAGGGCGGCGUGCCCAUGGGCUGCGAGUACUGGAUCCCGACGCCGGCGCAGAUCCUCGUCGGCCCGGUGCAGUUUGUCUGCCAUGUCUGUAACAAGAGCUUCAACAGAUACAAUAACAUGCAGCGCAGUGAAGAUCUAUCUCCCAUCCCCACACCGCCGAAUGGCUCCGUCGAAGUUGAGCCUGACCUAUCCAACACCGGCCACUUUCCCAAUGGCAUUGCAGGCGUUUGGUGUCUGAAUGGGACCCAGGGCUCGUCUCCUAGGAGCUCCAAAGCUAAUCAAGUGUCAAUUUAUUCCAAAGAGAAGAUGCACAUGUGGGGCCACGGGCGGGAGUACCGCAAGGGCCCGGAGUCGCUCAAGGGCACGCAGACGCUGGCGCUGCUGAAGCUGCCGUGCUACUGCUGCGCCGCCGGGUGCCGGAACAGCGUGGCCCACCCGCGCGCGCGGCCGCUCAAGGACUUCCGCACUCUGCAGACGCACUACAAGCGCAAGCACGGCGCCAGGCCCUUCCGCUGCCGCCGCUGCGCCAAGCCCUUCGCCGUCAAGGGCGACUGGCGCACGCACGAGAAGAACUGCGGCAAGCGCUGGUUCUGCGCCUGCGGCUCCGACUUCAAGCACAAGCGCUCCCUCAACGACCACGUCCGCUCCUUCGGCGGCGACCACCUCCCCGUCGCCCUCGACGGCGCCACCGCCCCCGCCCCCGCCGAGGACCGCCGCAUCAUACGCUUCCAACGGUGA
rnacentral:rRNA from 1 species